rnacentral:lncRNA from 1 species
AAAGCAGCAGGUACCAGUGGAUUAAACAAGGUAAACACAAUCUCUCCUAGAUACCACCAUUAUCAUUUGAAUAGAUUACUAUUAUCUCUAUUCAUCAAGUAAAUUACAAAUUGCAAGCAUAUCUUUGUUUUUAUUGGGAAUGAAUAACAAUAAUUACUAGUCGAAGCAAAAAACCAGCUUUAAGAUAAUGCCAGUGUUAGUCCAUCAUCCACCAAGUUACGAACCAUGCGCCAGCUAGCCCUCGGCAAUUUCUCAUUUACCCACAAGUUACGAACCAUGCGCCAGCUAGCCCUCGGCAAUUUCUCAUUUACCCAGGAAAAAAAAGUACCUCUCUUCUUACAAGAUUCAAUUUUGCAACAUUUGUGAAAGUUAUAUUGUUGUGAAUGGGGCCGAACAAACUAAGGCACUUGGGCCUGGGAAUAUUUUACACUGGGGUCAAAUGAUUAAACAACCCAAAAUAAGGUCUUUGGUUUACCAUUAGGACCCGGGUUGAGGUACACGUGUCGAAGAGUUACUGGGGUAGAGGAAAUAUAGUUCUUAUAAUUAUCAGAUUGUGCAAGGAAGAAGGGAGGGUAUUGUGAAGAAAAGUGUCUGCUUCUCCUCGUUCCCCUUUCUCUGAGUCUAAGUUCUCAUCCCCUUCUUAUCUUUAUCCUUAGCUACUUCUACAUUCCAGUGUUUCUUAUUGUGUUUCAGUAGUUUGAAUGUUGCGUUGUUAUCCGAAUUUGUAAUUGAGUUCUAGUUCAUAUUGAUAUAGUAAGGAAUUUGCCUAUUUGUUACAUUGGUGCUUUCAUCGAUCGUACUCCAAUGGACGAGGUGAUACUAGAUAAAUUCAGGAGCGGCGACGCAACGGGAUGGAUUUGUCGAGCCGAGCGAUACCUCCACUUCCUUGGCUUCUCCGAGGAGCAUUGGCUACCUCUCCCUUACUUCUACGUUGAAGGAGUUGCCCUCGUUUGGUUCGACUGGCUAUAUCGAAACAAACAAUUUUAUGAUUGGAACCAUUUCAAGGAGAAGCUACAGUUGCAUUUUAGGGCACAGACCUUCACAAGUAUGGUGCAUAUGGCAGAGACCCAGGUAUGUUCCGUUCUUGCUAUGAGCACUGUUCCCAUCUCAUAUGCAUUUGCAUCUGAUUUGGAUGCUGGACACUACGAGGCGGACCAAAUGUUCGACGAAAAUCGAUAAGGAGAAUGGCCUCACUCACAAACUGAUUUGUCUAGCGAUGCCAAGGAAUUAUUAAAUGAAUGUGUUCGUCAAGGCGAGGAUGGUGAAUUUAAAGUGCCGACAACAUCAAUCAUUGCAGAAUCAUUGUUCAACACUAGGAACGAUCCUAAGACCUGUGAUGCGCACUCGAAUGCACACUUCAUUUCCCCACCGAUUGUAGUUGAUUUAGUCGUUGAUCAAUCAGUGGGGCUGCCUUUCCAGGUAACUCAGAUGCUUGGGGGAACUACUCGAUGGGCCGAAAUUGACUUUUUGGAUACUAUACAACCAACGGAAUCCGCUGACAAGGAAGGUGAAUGGCUCGAGAAUAUUGCGAACAUAAUGUUAGAUAAAAGUCUCGAGCUAAAUGAGACCAAGCUGCAAUGCCAAUUUGCAAAUGUGGAGCUUAUUGAGACCGCGAAAUAUGUUUCCACUGAGAUUUUAUCUGCUCACUUUGAUGAACGAGCAGGGAUCAGCCUGCUUCUUAAAGCCAUCACUACUCUUGAUGCUGGCUUUGAGAGUAUUGUCCAAGAUGCUUUAGUAAAGUGUGACCCUCUCCAUUCAAAGCUCCUAGCUUGCUGCCUUAUGAUUUGUGGGGACAUAGUGCCAACGGAUGUCAACAUUACAGUGGCAACUAUCUCAGGUCACGUUCACAAAAUUGUGAAAGAUCCAGUCUUCUUAUUCUAUUUCCCAACACACCUUUGUAUAAAGACAGUUGGCAGAGUGUGCGCUAUUAACACUGUUCUUAACCCGAACCUUGAGGACAAGGUCUUAUUCAGGGCGGGGGUAUUGUUGUGAAUGGGGCCGAACAAACUAAGGCACUUGGGCUUGGGAAUAUUUUACACUGGGGUCAAAUGAUUAAACAACCCAAAAUAAGGUCUUUGGUUUACCAUUGGGACCCGGGUUGAGGUACACGUGUCGAAGAGUUACUGGGCUAGAGGAAAUAUAGUUCUUAUAAUUAUCAGAUUGUACAAGGAAGAAGGGAGGGUAUUGUGAAGAAAAGUGUCUGCCUCUCCUCGUUCCCCUUUCUCUAAGUCUAAGUUCUCAUCCCCUUUUUAUCUUUAUCCUUAGGUACUUCUACAUUCCAGUGU